rnacentral:lncRNA from 1 species
AUCGCUUCUCGGCCUUUUGGCUAAGAUCAAGUGUAGUAUCUGUUCUUAUCAGUUUAAUAUCUGAUACGUCCUCUAUCCGAGGACAAUAUAUUAAAUGGAUUUUUGGAGCAGGGAGAUGGAAUAGGAGCUUGCUCCGUCCACUCCACGCAUCGACCUGGUAUUGCAGUACCUCCAGGAACGGUGCACCCCCUCCGGGGAUACAACGUGUUUCCUAAAAGUAGAGGGAGGUAAGAGACGGUAGCACCUGCGGGGCGGCUUGCACGCCGAGUGCCUGUGACGCGCCGGC